rnacentral:rRNA from 1 species
GGGGCUAAACCAUGCACCGAAGCUGCGGCAGCGACACUGUGUGUUGUUGGGUAGGGGAGCGUUCUGUAAGCCUGUGAAGGUGUGCUGUGAGGCAUGCUGGAGGUAUCAGAAGUGCGAAUGCUGACAUAAGUAACGAUAAAGCGGGUGAAAAGCCCGCUCGCCGGAAGACCAAGGGUUCCUGUCCAACGUUAAUCGGGGCAGGGUGAGUCGACCCCUAAGGCGAGGCCGAAAGGCGUAGUCGAUGGGAAACAGGUUAAUAUUCCUGUACUUGGUGUUACUGCGAAGGGGGGACGGAGAAGGCUAUGUUGGCCGGGCGACGGUUGUCCCGGUUUAAGCGUGUAGGCUGGUUUUCCAGGCAAAUCCGGAAAAUCAAGGCUGAGGCGUGAUGACGAGGCACUACGGUGCUGAAGCAACAAAUGCCCUGCUUCCAGGAAAAGCCUCUAAGCAUCAGGUAACAUCAAAUCGUACCCCAAACCGACACAGGUGGUCAGGUAGAGAAUACCAAGGCGCUUGAGAGAACUCGGGUGAAGGAACUAGGCAAAAUGGUGCCGUAACUUCGGGAGAAGGCACGCUGAUAUGUAGGUGAAGUCCCUCGCGGAUGGAGCUGAAAUCAGUCGAAGAUACCAGCUGGCUGCAACUGUUUAUUAAAAACACAGCACUGUGCAAACACGAAAGUGGACGUAUACGGUGUGACGCCUGCCCGGUGCCGGAAGGUUAAUUGAUGGGGUCAGCGCAAGCGAAGCUCUUGAUCGAAGCCCCGGUAAACGGCGGCCGUAACUAUAACGGUCCUAAGGUAGCGAAAUUCCUUGUCGGGUAAGUUCCGACCUGCACGAAUGGCGUAAUGAUGGCCAGGCUGUCUCCACCCGAGACUCAGUGAAAUUGAACUCGCUGUGAAGAUGCAGUGUACCCGCGGCAAGACGGAAAGACCCCGUGAACCUUUACUAUAGCUUGACACUGAACAUUGAGCCUUGAUGUGUAGGAUAGGUGGGAGGCUUUGAAGUGUGGACGCCAGUCUGCAUGGAGCCGACCUUGAAAUACCACCCUUUAAUGUUUGAUGUUCUAACGUGGACCCGUGAUCCGGGUUGCGGACAGUGUCUGGUGGGUAGUUUGACUGGGGCGGUCUCCUCCUAAAGAGUAACGGAGGAGCACGAAGGUUGGCUAAUCCUGGUCGGACAUCAGGAGGUUAGUGCAAUGGCAUAAGCCAGCUUGACUGCGAGCGUGACGGCGCGAGCAGGUGCGAAAGCAGGUCAUAGUGAUCCGGUGGUUCUGAAUGGAAGGGCCAUCGCUCAACGGAUAAAAGGUACUCCGGGGAUAACAGGCUGAUACCGCCCAAGAGUUCAUAUCGACGGCGGUGUUUGGCACCUCGAUGUCGGCUCAUCACAUCCUGGGGCUGAAGUAGGUCCCAAGGGUAUGGCUGUUCGCCAUUUAAAGUGGUACGCGAGCUGGGUUUAGAACGUCGUGAGACAGUUCGGUCCCUAUCUGCCGUGGGCGCUGGAGAACUGAGGGGGGCUGCUCCUAGUACGAGAGGACCGGAGUGGACGCAUCACUGGUGUUCGGGUUGUCAUGCCAAUGGCACUGCCCGGUAGCUAAAUGCGGAAGAGAUAAGUGCUGAAAGCAUCUAAGCACGAAACUUGCCCCGAGAUGAGUUCUCCCUGACCCUUUAAGGGUCCUGAAGGAACGUUGAAGACGACGACGUUGAUAGGCCGGGUGUGUAAGCGCAGCGAUGCGUUGAGCUAACCGGUACUAAUGAACCGUGAGGCUUAACCUU